AAUGCCCAAUAUUCACUAAGAUUACAAAUCUUUCAUAAGAUUUCCAAAUCCAUUUCAUAUCUUGCAAAUUUCUCUCUCUCCUUUCCUCCCUAACUUUCGACCACCACCUCUCUCCCUUCUCUCUCACAUUUCCACCAUUGUCAACCAUAGAUGUGACCUCCGAAGCUUCACAAAACUAUGCCAAACACAUAAAUCACAAUCAAAAUCUUACCUAAACACCUCCUAUCAACUUGAAUCCAAGGAGAACCUUGAAGAUUGGCUUCAAGACUAGAGAGAGAAAGUUUGAUAUUUGGUGUAAACUUGGGCCCGAGCGAGACGAAGAAGUAAGUUGCCUGAUUUCUUUCCAGGAUUAGCAAAGGACUUCAGACUAAGCGAGGAGCGAGAUUGGUCUGGUGCUGGUGGGGAAUUGCUGAAGGAUGUAUUUACUUUAUCGUAUUUCCAUUUUGACGAUAAAGUCUUGAUGAUUGAUAUACUUUGAUUUUCUUUUGAAUUUAAGCAAUGUACUCACGGUUAUAUGUCUUCAUACAUAUAAUCGGUUCGCCUUUUGCUGCGAUACUCUGCAUAUUAUGAUUCCUUACGAAAAAUGAGCGAUACCUGUUUUGUUUUUGUUCGUGAAAUUCCUGAUAAUUAAAAAGUUAUAACGACAUUGACGAUUUUA